GACGAACGCUGGCGGCGUGCCUAAUACAUGCAAGUAGAACGCAGUUGCGAACGGGUGAGUAACGCGUAGGUAACUGCCUGGUAGCGGGGGAUAACUAUUGGAAACGAUAGCUAAUACCGCAUACUACCAGAUGGACCUGCGUUGUAUUAGCUAGUUGGUGGGGUAACGGCUCAACAAGGCAACGAUACAUAGCCGACCUGGGAGGGAGGACCGCCACACUUGGACUGGGACAACGGCCCGACUCCUACGGGGAGCAGGCAUAGGGAAUCUGUGGCAAUGGGGGGAAAGCUGGCCUCGCAAAGCCGGGUGAGUGAAAAAAGGUUUCGGAUUGGAAAGCUCUGUUGUUAAGGAAGCGGUACUUAACCAGAAAGGGACGGCUAACUACGUGCCAGCAGCCGCGGUAAUUC
rnacentral:rRNA from 1 species